rnacentral:tRNA from 1 species
CCGUCCUUGGCAUAGUGGCCGUGCAUCCGGCUUUUAACCGGAAGAGGGGAGUUCGAUUCUCUCAGGGCGGACCA